GAUGAACGCUGGCGGCGUGCUUAACACAUGCAAGUCGAACGAGGUCCAACCUUUGGGUGAAGACCGAGUGGCGAACGGGUGAGUAACACGUGGGGAACCUGCCCUUCUCUCUGGGAUAACUCCGGGAAACCGGAGCUAAUACUGGAUACUCCUUGCGGAUCGCAUGGUCUGCUCGGGAAAGCUCCGGCGGAGAAGGAUGGCCCCGCGGCCCAUUAGCUUGUUGGUGGGGUAACGGCCUACCAAGGCGACGAUGGGUAGCCGAGCUGAGAGGCUGAUCGGCCACACUGGGACUGAGACACGGCCCAGACUCCUACGGGAGGCAGCAGUGGGGAAUCUUGCGCAAUGGGCGAAAGCCUGACGCAGCAACGCCGCGUGCGGGAUGAAGGCCCUCGGGUCGUAAACCGCUUUCAGCAGGGAUGAAGAUGACAGUACCUGCAGAAGAAGCCCCGGCUAAAUACGUGCCAGCAGCCGCGGUAAUACGUAUGGGGCAAGCGUUAUCCGGAUUCAUUGGGCGUAAAGCGCGCGUAGGCGGCUUGUUAAGUCAGGCGUGAAAUCCGGGGGCUCAACCCGCGGCUUGCGUCUGAAACUGGCAGGCUUGAGUCUGGUAGAGGAAAGUGGAAUUCCUGGUGUAGCGGUGAAAUGCGCAGAUAUCAGGAGGAACACCAGUGGCGAAGGCGGCUUUCUGGGCCACGACUGACGCUGAGGCGCGAAAGCUAGGGGAGCGAACA
rnacentral:rRNA from 3 species